UGUGAUGACCCUUUUCCUGGCUUAAAGG
rnacentral:piRNA from 1 species